UACGUAGGUGACAAGCGUUGUCCGGAUUUACUGGGCGUAAAGAGCGCGCAGGCGGUCGAUCAAGUCGAGUGUGAAAGCCCCCGGCUCAACUGGGGAGGGUCAUUCGAUACUGAUCGACUCGAAGGCAGGAGAGGGUAGUGGAAUUCCCGGUGUAGUGGUGAAAUGCGUAGAUAUCGGGAGGAACACCAGUGGCGAAGGCGGCGACCUGGGUAGAUACUGACGCUGAGGUGCGAAAGCGUGGGGAGCAAACAGG
rnacentral:rRNA from 1 species